UAAGCAUGGAGGAAUGUAUUGAAGCAUGUGCAAAGAUUUUGAAAGAGUUUGACCCCAAGCUGGAGUAAAAAGCUACUCUCAAUCUUUAUGUUAAAUGUUGGCGUUGGUUAAAGGAUGAAACAUGUGAAAGACAUUUCAUUUUG